AAAAAACUGAGUGUACACCAUCCCUGCAAGCAAGCAGUGAUGUGAGGAUUUCAACCCAGGUUUGUCAGGCUCCAAGUUCACAUCCGUAGCUCAGGCCCUCAGAGGAACCCCAAAAUUCUGAUGAGAUGACAGAUGAAUUGCCUGAAAGGCCUCCAUCCUGCUUGAGAAUGUAAUCUGAGACCUAGAAGUUGGGAGGAGCCUUUGGCCAGCCAUACUCCCACCCUAACUCCCCCUUCAGAGUCUCUCCAAGAAGCCUCAGAGUGGAAUCUCCUUGAGAUACUGCCAAAUGAAGGUCCUUACCCUCCUCUGGCUGUGCUCCCCAAGGAAAAGCCACAUGACGAUUCCCAGGGCCGUUCUGGACCGCCUCUCCUUGGACUACAGACGGCCUGCAAUGGGAUUUGGCCCAUACAGAUCUUACUUUUUCAUGAACGUGUUUGGUGGUUUGGCCAGAAAGUAGCCAACAGGCCUUAAAUUCCUGUGCUGGCCACUGGCCUGCCUCCUCCUUCCCUCCCAGGGCAGUUUUCUCUCUGAAAAACAAACGAAGCCAGCAUAAGUGCACAGUUUGUUUCCCGAAGGAGAAAAUUUGCUAUCGGAGCUGAUGGUUUCCCCAAAUCAAAGUGCUGUCUUUCACUGCAAAGGACUCACGGCUACCGAGCGGGGCAAAGGAGAGCUGCGUGGGUCAGCUCUGAGCUCGAACCCAAGGCUAAAGAUAGAACUUGUUCAUACAGGAGUUUCAAAGUCUUCGUGUAGAAUCUGCGGUAAUGGCAAGUUGUCCAUAAUAAAACUGACCCCAGUAAAAGAUCUGUAGCUCCACUGUUUUGUCGUUAAGUUAGAUCAGGGAAAAGCUAAUGCUACCCAAACUUCUAGAGGUUUUAACCAGGCCUGGUGGCUGGCCCUGGGACCCUUCACAUUGGAACCUGCUGUAUCCGUUGCUGUGUUUCCAUUUUGAACCUGCACGUGUCUGUUGGGGGUUCAGACCCAAACCCUCAUGCACGUUCCUUUCACAGAAUGAGUGAGGCUGAGGGGGCGGUGAAUGGUGUCUGGAGACUCCCUAACAGUCUGCUUUCCCCAUAUGUGGGUCUUCAAACCGAUUCAAAAUUGUUUGCGAAGAUGGAGACAGCUCGGAUAAUGACCGGGUCAUGCGUGCAUGGAGUUUGUCACAUCAUUCUCUGCAUUUUUUAAAUAUGUUUGAAAAUUUCCAUAAUGAGAAGUGUUUUUCAGAAGUCACAUUUGACCUAAAUUACAUAAAAGAAAGGAAAUGGGGGCGCUUAAGCGUCUGCCUUCGGCUCAGGUCAUGAUCUCCAGGGUCCUGGGAUCGAGCCCCG